UACGUAGGGUGCGAGCGUUGUCCGGAAUUAUUGGGCGUAAAGAGCUCGUAGGCGGCUUGUCGCGUCGGAUGUGAAAGCCCGGGGCUUAACUCCGGGUCUGCAUUCGAUACGGGCAGGCUAGAGUUCGGUAGGGGAGAUCCGAAUUCCUGGUGUAGCGGUGAAAUGCGCAGAUAUCAGGAGGAACACCGGUGGCGAAGGCGGAUCUCUGGGCCGAUACUGACGCUGAGGAGCGAAAGCGUGGGGAGCGAACAGG
rnacentral:rRNA from 1 species